rnacentral:rRNA from 1 species
UACGUAGGUGACCAGCGUUGUCCGGAUUUACUGGGCGUAAAGAGCGCGCAGGCGGUCGUUCAAGUCGAGUGUGAAAGCCCCCGGCUCAACUGGGGAGGGUCAUUCGAUACUGAUCGACUCGAAGGCAGGAGAGGGUAGUGGAAUUCCCGGUGUAGUGGUGAAAUGCGUAGAUAUCGGGAGGAACACCAGUGGCGAAGGCGGUGCUCUGGGCCAGAACUGACGCUGAAUAGCGAAAGCGUGGGUAGCGAACAGG